UACGUAGGAGACGAGCGUUGUCCGGAAUUACUGGGCGUAAAGCGCGUGUAGGCGGAUGAGCAAGUCUGCUGUGAAAGCUCCUGGCUUAACCGGGAGUGGUCGGUGGAAACUGCUCGUCUGGAGGACGGUAGAGGUAGGUAGAAUUCCCGGUGUAGUGGUGAAAUGCGUAGAGAUCGGGAAGAACACCCGUGGCGAAGGCGGCUCUCUGGGACGGUACUGACGCUGAGACGCGAAAGCGUGGGGAGCGAACAGG
rnacentral:rRNA from 1 species